GAGAUCAGUGAUGAAUGAAUAGCAGCAGGCAGGAGAAAUUGUUGGAAGACCUGUAUGACAAAUUUUGAAUGUGCAUAUAUAGUGGUGAUCUAGAUGAAAUGGUCUCUGCCGGGGGGGCUUCAUUCUCAGAAAUCUGAUGGAUAUGAUGCAGCUACCAUGGGAAUAGAAUGAAUUUAUUCAUUUAAAGUCUCAGAAAUCUGUUUUGUUUUUUAAGUGAAGUGAAGUGUGUUUGUACAGAUAAUUUUGGUGCUGGGGAAUUAGUUUUGUGAAAUAUGGCCAGGCCACCAUCAGCCUUAUGCAGUUAUUAUGUUUGUAGACACAACUAUGUUGAGGGAUAGCUUUCACAAAUCUCAUUCCUUACACUGCACCUUGGUUUUGAUUA